rnacentral:rRNA from 1 species
CAUCUGUAAAACUCGGGACCUCUUCAGUGUUGAAGAAAGAAGCAUCAUGGUUUUCUGUGAUGCAUUUGCUUGUUUGGUGCUUGGGGAUGUUUGAGGCAGAUUUGUAACCGCCGUUUUGAGGCCAGCUUGCUGGUACCCAAACAGCGUUAGCUUCUUUUGUCUUGGACAAUUAGAACAAUCAAACCAAUUUGAGUAUGGUUUACGGGCAUUUAUUGGUUCGAUCUGAUUGUAAGUUACGGUCGCAUGCGACACGUGCUUUUCAUUUAGAUCGGUCCAGUUAAUGCUCUCGUACUCGCUCCCCAUGUAAAAGCCGGUCAUCUAUCCGACCCGUCUUGAAACACGGACCAAGGAGUUUAUCGUGUGCGCAAGUUUUUGGGUGUUAAAAACCUAAAAGCGAAAUGAAAGUAAAUGGCUCUUUAGAGUCUGACGUGCGAUCUUGUAAAAAAGGGCAGCAUGGCCCCAUUCUAACUGUUUACAGUAGGGUGGAGGAAGAGCGUACGCGGUGAGACCCGAAAGAUGGUGAACUAUUCCUGAGCAGGACGAAGCCAGUGGAAGUCCGAAGCGGUUCUGACGUGCAAAUCGAUCGUCUGACUUGGGUAUAGGGGCGAAAGACUAAUCGAACCAUCAGCGGA